CUUUAUUUCAGACAAUUGUAGAAUUUUGUAAUUUUGUGUUGUUUAAGUCACCUGACCACUUUGUUGACCCAGAAGAAUUUUUGCCAGAAAGAUGGCUGAGGGAUGGAUCUGCACAUAAUAUACACCCUUAUUUGCUAACACCAUUUGGACAUGGUCCAAGGAUGUGUGCAGGUUAGUGAGCACUGUUGACAAGGGAAAUAUAAAUUUUUUGAAAAUAUUGUUAGUGGAAGAAAGUUGAUGAAAUAUGAUAUGUCCAUUUAUCUUAAAAUUUUGAAUGAUCUGUAUUAAAAUCAAAUACGGCAAGGCCAACCUUAGAAAUAUGUUUGUUUGCAGUUUUCCGACGGUACCUUCAGACUGAAGGGUCGGUAGGUAGGAAAAAUAUUUUAUUUUAUCAGCAAAAAUACAGUUUAAACAAGCAGUUACACUAAACCAAGUUUCUUGUGAAGAAAAAAAAAAAACAUUUUAAAACAACAAACACUGGACAUGCUGAAAACCAACAUCAAAUGAACAGGCAUUUUCAGAUAAAAAACUUUUUAACCAAAACAUAAACUUUAACAUAGUGUCAUUAUCCAAUUUAUGACAUAAAAUAUGGUAUAAUUAUUAAAUACUGGAACACUUAUAAACAAGGAAUGUCAUUAUGACUAGAACUGUUUUAAAGAAAUAUAUUCAGACAUGUAUGCUUCUUGACUAGAAUGUUUUCAUGAGUAGAGUAUUUUCAUCAGAAAAAUGUAGAUAUUAAAGAUUUAUAAGACAAUGUAUUAAGGAGUGUAUUUUUAAUAAAAAAAAAUAACCAUUGAAUCUUCCUCAAUUGAAAAAAAAGGCAACUUGAAAAAAAAGUAUUAAGACAUUCGACUGUUUUCAUAUUUCUAACAAUAUUUAAUUAUAUGUGAUAAGGUUACAUAUUUUUGCCAGGCUUUAAUGAAAGCCAAAGAAAUCUAAAGUUUGGGGUGAAAUCCAUAGCACCCCAUUAAAAGUAAAUGGUCUGUACUGAAAUGUUUUUAAUGCAUAAAAAAAAUUGGCAGCAUAGCUCCUAAGGACAUGUUUUAAUUGAAUUCACACAGGCCACACCGUUUGGGUAUAUUUAAUAUUGUAAGAAAGAGAAUAAUUGCAAUGAGUGGGGCAGCCCCCUUAUCCUAAAGGAGCAUACUCAUUGCAAUCGAUUUAAUAUAGAGAGAGUAUAUUUAUUUUUCAAGCUAACCAUUCAUUUUCUCUACAUCUUUGUGUAGUUAGGGUUGCUUCUUAUUGAUUUGGCAUGAUCUAUAUCCAUUAACAUUUCAAGUGAGCCCUUCCUCCGUACAGGCGUGUUUACAGAUAUCCAUGAAGAUUUAAGUCACGGAGGAGUGGUUUCAUCUUUGUCGUCUUCACAACGAUUUGUAGAAAAUAUGCCAUAUUUCAAGCUGCUGUCGAAUUAUUUAACCACUGAAAUUGGUUCCAUAAAGUCAGGCUCCACAGAUUCUGUACCCGAUUUGUUUGAGACAGAAUGGUUAUCGUGUCAGUUAUGAAUAUCCGCUGCAUCAUCGUCAAUGAUAUCAUCACACAUCAUUACAUGUGCCUGAAUCUGUAUAAACAGUUUACUAAUAAACUUUUUUGUUUGUUAUUUGUCUUAAAAUUGACACGAGACGACAGCGUAAAGUACUCCUCCGUGACUUCAUUGAUACCUGUAAACAAUUUCCAUAUGCUUUAUCAUUAAGGGCAUACGAUACAGUUACAGGGAAGGUAAUGAAUGACGUUGCUAACGUAAAAUGUUAUUUUCGCGACGUCAAACUCUGACAUAUCGGGAAAAGAUGCAUUUUUUGACUGAUUUUUAUCAUUCAAACUGAUUUAAUUUGAAAACGAGUGCAUGGACCCCUAUUUUUUAAAACAGCAAUUUGUUUCAUUUUGCAAGGAGAUUAUGUGACCCAAAUUUUAUAAAACUGUAAAUAGCGCAUUUUUUUUAAUUUUGAUAAACAUGCAGCAAAAAAUGAUGUUUUUUCCUCUAUUCAUGAACGUUUGAUAAAUAUAGAGUUAUUUCGGAAUAAAAAUUGCAUAAUUUUUAAUGAUACUUAUAAAAAUACAGAAAUUACUGAUUAUUUAACAAAAACCAUUUUGUGUUUAUCUUUUAAAACAAAAAAGUUAUGUCUUUCUUUCGAAAAAGAAAAUACGGACACAAAUCUGAAUUUUGAGCAAAUAUACAAAAUUUCGAACACAUUUUACUCAAAAAGUAGCACAUGAAGGUAUAUUUUUUAUUACAUAUUUGAUUUAAUGAGGUAAAAAAUAGCCUAUAUGCAAAUUUUCAUCAACUUGUAAAUACAGGUUCAAAACUGUAUCGUAUGCCCUCAAAUGGUUACAUGAACGCUUGACGGGAAGAUAAGAAAAAACGAACUUGAAAUGCGUAAUUGACCCAGACUUUAAAUCAUUUCCGGAAAGGACCCAAAGUUCCGGAUCGCGUCAAUAGAAGUAUUAAAAAAAAAUUUUUCAAAUUUAAAGCAAUAAAAUUUUCACAGUCGGGAGGAUUUUCAAGGGUCGGUCGGUAAACUGCAAACAAACAAUAUUUUAAUUUAAGCCCAAAUGGGAGAUGAGAACAUAAAAAUAGGUGCACAAAUUACUUUGAGUGAAUUGUAUAUGCUAGAUGUUUUGUUCAAGCAUAGAUCAAUGAAAACAUAUUUCUGGAUUCUAUUUUGAUAAAUGUAUAUACUACCACACAACCCCAAGUAUUUUAGAAUUUGUAAAUUUAACUAUCAAGAGUGGAUAAAUAUUAUACUAAGAAGUGUAUAAUAUAUAAUUUAAUGGAAUUAUAAAAAUAAGAACAUGUGGUAUGAUUGCAAAUGAGAUAACUCUUCACAAGUGACAAAAUGCCACAGAAAUUAGCAACUACAGCCUAUUAGAAUGUUCAAAAUGCAUUUGGCAGGUUUAUCAAGAUUAUACACUGGUCAGAAUCUAAACGUAAACAGAUUAAAAUAUGAAGUGAAAACUUGAGUUAGAAGCUAUGUAAUGUAGGUCAAUUCCCUACCUUUACGGACAUUUUUCAAAGUUUAAAACCUCACAUUUAUAUUGAUUUCUUGAUGCUUGGGAUGAAGACUUUUAAUAUAACCAAUUCAAGAACUGAAAUAUAAAAAAAGUAAAAAAUAAGUAACUGAAGAACACAUUAAUUCAUGAAUUUGCCUAACACAUAAGUGAAUUAUCAGUGUUGUUGUGUUAAGAGUUGAAUAUUUUCUGAUCUUGAAUUAUGCCAAUAUGGGAUUAGUUAUUCCUUUUAUUACAUCGACCAUGGACAUUUGAAUGGAAAAUAAAGUAGAAAAUAUAAGGAACUUUCUCUUUUUCAGCAAAUUCUCAAUUCAUUUUGAUGCAUAGUCAUCUACAAUGUCUUGACAACACUAAUUGAUGUAUGAUGUCAGAGGAUUGAAAUGAUUGGUUUUUUAUUUUCAUGGUAAAUUUCAUUGCUACCAAUGUAACAUAUUUCUUUUCAUUUACUCCUUCAGGAAGAAGAUUUGCAGAACAAGAAUUAUAUGUAUUACUGGGACGUAUGUUACAAAACUUUAAAAUUGAGUGGCAUGGAAAAGAUAUGACUCAAAAGUAUCAAGUUUUAAUGGUUCCAGACAAACCAGCCACAUUUACAUUUGUGGAUCGAUGAUUCUAAUGUUACUGAUUAUGAACAGAAACAUUCAUGUGAUACAGACAUAAUAAGUUAUAUAUAAUCAGAUUAUGGCGAGAAAAGAGGAUAACACCUCCGGAAAAAUCAUACAUGAAAUAAAGCUACAUGAAAAUUCAAGAAAUUAGAAAAUAAGAGUUGAGAUCAUGAUACAUGUUAGUCCAUCAGUGAUAAUUGAUACCAACUCUAUUGAAAAUCCGAAAUAAAUAACUGUGAUAUAUUUUUGUGUAAAUAAGGUUGUAAUUGAUGAAUUAUUAAAGCUUUA
rnacentral:lncRNA from 1 species